rnacentral:lncRNA from 1 species
UAUAACAAGUGUCUUAAAGCCCACAAUAACAUAUCUUUUCCACAAAUGCAGUUUAAGGAAUUUAACAGUCAGUGGGUUGCUAGUUUUAUCAGCUACCGGUAUAUCACAGCAAGUCUGAUUAAAGUGGGAAGAAGGACCAAGUGACAUAGGAUUUAGUUGUUUACCACGAUGGUGAAACCCAAGGUCUGGGUACCAACGUUGGUGAAACCCAAGGUCUGGGUACCAACGUUGGUGAAACCCAAGGCCUGGGUACUAGCAAACCCAGAAACAUGAUGGAGCCCAGCUGGGAUAUCGGCACUGAUCACUGGGUCACCCUCAAGGAAGACUGACUGACUGAGUUUGGUUUUACGCCGCUUUUAGCAAUAUUCCAGCAACAUCACGGCGGGGGACACCAGAAAUGGGCUUCACACAUUGUACCCAUGUGGGGAUUCGAACCCGGGUCUUCGGCGUGACGAGCCAACGCUUGAACCAUUAGGCUACCCCACCGCCCCCCUCAAGGAAGAAGCCCAACAGUGUUCAUUUACCAUAAAUUAUGAAUGCAACUACUGGAGGAAUAAAAGUAAUGCGAUAUUGAA